rnacentral:rRNA from 1 species
UACGAAGGGGGCUAGCGUUGUUCGGAAUUACUGGGCGUAAAGCGCACGUAGGCGGAUAUUUAAGUCAGGGGUGAAAUCCCGGAGCUCAACUUCGGAACUGCCCUUGAUACAGCACGUCUUGAGUCCGGAAGAGGUGGGUGGAAUUCCUAGUGUAGAGGUGAAAUUCGUAGAUAUUAGGAAGAACACCGGUGGCGAAGGCGGCCCACUGGUCCGGUACUGACGCUGAGGUGCGAAAGCGUGGGGAGCAAACAGG